rnacentral:lncRNA from 1 species
GUCGUAGUGUGAACGUAGUCAGGUCGUAAGAAGAGCGUGAUGAGGACGGCAAGGGCGUGCUACAAUCGUACUAUGGUCGUGAACAGCGUGGUGUAGUCGUAGUGGAAGCGUAGUUGGGUCGCAGUGAGAACGUGAUGGUCGUCGUGAGGUCGUGAUAACGUCGCUGUGCGAUCGUAGCGCAGUCUCUCCGAAUAGAAUCACGCGUUCGCUACGCUCUCGCUACGAUUGUACAGCGACCGUUGCGAUCUUACUACGAUCUGAGUGCGCUCUCACUACGCUUCUACUACGACCUGAUUUCGCCACGACCGCACCACGAUUGUUUUGAACAUGUUCAAAGUUGGCCACGCUCUUCAC